UCAAAAGAAGCAGUGUUUCUCCAGAGCCACCCCCUGCCCCCAACCGGUAUGGACUUGCUCGACAAUGACUGGCAUUUCCGUUCUCAGAGUGAAGAUGUUACAGACUCCUCUGGCUUAAGAGCAUUUGGGUUCUCAACCUCUCUCCUGUCUGCUCACAAAGCUUCAAUAAAAUCCACAUUCCUUGCCAAUGCUUAAUGGAAUAGAUUUGCUGUUUGGGACUAAACCUAUCCUGAGUUAGACCUCGAAGUCUCUACAAGACAGUAACAGUGUCUGCCCACGAGAGGACAGCCACAC